rnacentral:pre_miRNA from 1 species
AAAAAGACAAACCCUGAGUUUCCGUGUACAACUUUGACUAUCCGUCUUAUAUGAAUUUUUUUUAUAAUUCGUAUUUUCAUUAUUGUUAGAUGAUAAAACAUGAUUAAUGUUUUAUGUGUGACUUCUCUUUUUAAUUUUUUCAAAUAAGACGGACGGUCAAACGUUGGACACGGAAACCAGGGUUUGUCUUUUU